rnacentral:lncRNA from 1 species
CUUCGCUGUUUUUUUUUGUUUCGCAAGAUGUUGCUUAGAUAAAUGAAAUAUGAUAUGGAACAGUUUAUGCGCUUUUGAAACGGACACUGCGAAACUGAAUUCUCUCCCAUACAAGAGCUAUCUCCCCGAACACUGUUUUUCUUGUUAUCGCUUAAUCUUCAAAACCGUAUAAGAAACCGACAAAUUUAUUUUUCCAAAUUGCUCGUU